AUUGAACGCUGGCGGCAUGCCUUACACAUGCAAGUCGAACGGCAGCACGGGUGCUUGCACCUGGUGGCGAGUGGCGAACGGGUGAGUAAUACAUCGGAACGUACCUUAUCGUCGGGGAUAACGCAGCGAAAGCUGUGCUAAUACCGCAUACGCCCUGAGGGGGAAAGCGGGGGAUCGCAAGACCUCGCGCGAUUAGAGCGGCCGAUGCCUGAUUAGCUAGUUGGUGGGGUAAAAGCCCACCAAGGCGACGAUCAGUAGCUGGUCUGAGAGGACGAUCAGCCACACUGGGACUGAGACACGGCCCAGACUCCUACGGGAGGCAGCAGUGGGGAAUGUUGGACAAUGGGGGCAACCCUGAUCCAGCAAUGCCGCGUGAGUGAAGAAGGCCUUCGGGUUGUAAAGCUCUUUUGUCAGGGAAGAAACACCGGCUCUAACACAGUCCGGGAAUGACGGUACCUGAAGAAUAAGCACCGGCUAACUACGUGCCAGCCGCCGCAGUAA
rnacentral:rRNA from 1 species